rnacentral:lncRNA from 1 species
GUCCCCAUUUCUUUUUUAUUGAUUAAAGAAAAGGUUGGGUCAACCCCAGUAGGCACCAACUCAUGUCAAUUUCUUGGGUCCUCUUCUUUUAUCUUCUCUAUAAUUCCUUACAUUUCUAGUUGGAUGGGAGGUUUUCUCCGUUGUCCUCUCUAAAGGUGGUCAUGUUCAUUUGCCCCAUCAAAGUCAAUGUUUCGAAUUCC